GGUUACUGCUAUCGGUGUUCGCCUAAGCCAUGCGAGUCAUAUGUUCGUAAGAACAUGGCGUACUGCUCAGUAACACGUGGAUAACCUGCCCUUGGGUCCGGCAUAACCCCGGGAAACUGGGGAUAAUUCCGGAUAACGCACAUAUGCUGGAAUGCUUUAUGCGUAAAAUGGAUUCGUCUGCCCAAGGAUGGGUCUGCGGCCUAUCAGGUAGUAGUGGGUGUAAUGUACCUACUAGCCUACGACGGGUACGGGUUGUGAGAGCAAGAGCCCGGAGAUGGAUUCUGAGACAUGAAUCCAGGCCCUACGGGGCGCAGCAGGCGCGAAAACUUUACAAUGCGGGAAACCGUGAUAAGGGGACACCGAGUGCCAGCAUCCUAUGCUGGCUGUCCGGGUGUGUAAAAUACACCCGUUAGCAAGGGCCGGGCAAGACCGGUGCCAGCCGCCGCGGUAACACCGGCGGCCCGAGUGGUGAUCGUGAUUAUUGGGUCUAAAGGGUCCGUAGCCGGUUUGGUCAGUCCUCCGGGAAAUCUGACAGCUUAACUGUUAGGCUUUCGGAGGAUACUGCCAGACUUGGAACCGGGAGAGGUAAGAGGUACUACAGGGGUAGGAAUGAAAUCUUGUAAUCCCUGUGGGACCACCUGUGGCGAAGGCGUCUUACCAGAACGGGUUCGACGGCGAGGGACGAAAGCUGGGGGCACGAACCGGAUUAGAUACCCGGGUAGUCCCAGCCGUAAACGAUGCUCGCUAGGUGUCAGGCAUGGCGCGACCGUGUCUGGUGCCGCAGGGAAGCCGUGAAGCGAGCCACCUGGGAAGUACGGCCGCAAGGCUGAAACUUAA
rnacentral:rRNA from 1 species